AAAAAAAAACAAGAUUCUUACUGAAAUAUGCUGUAACUCUUAAGAACGAAUGUGGUGUUUUUUUGAACGUUCCUUGCUACUUCAGAGAAAAGCUACUUAGCAUGUUUGUGUCAUGAAAUCUUGAUCACCACCCUAAUUCAGAAGGGAAAAGUUACCAUUUAUCUUGGACAAUAAAGAAUAGUUUUACAUGCCUAGAGCAACAUUUGGUACAUGUAAUGGCACCACCAGAGCUUUCCUUUAGACUUUUUGCUGACCAGCCCAGAGUAAUCGAGUAAGUUUCAUCACUCCUUCUUUUUUAGAAGCUAUGGAGAUAUUUUGCAUAGAAUGAAGGAUCUCUGCAGAUACAUGAACAACUUUGAUAGUGAAGCACAUGCGAAAUAUAAAAACCAAGUGGUGUAUUCUACCAUGCUGGUCUUCUUUAAGAAUGCGUUCCAAUAUGUCAACAGCAUACAGCCGUCUCUCUUCCAAGGUCCUAAUGCCCCGAGCCAAGUUCCACUGGUUCUUCUCGAAGAUGUAUCGAACGUGUAUGGUGAUGUAGAAAUUGACCGUAAUAAACACAUCCAUAAAAAGAGGAAACUAGCUGAAGGAAGAGAAAAAACCAUGAGUUCAGACGAUGAAGACUGUUCGGCGAAAGGAAGAAAUCGUCACAUUGUAGUCAAUAAAGCUGAACUUGCUAACUCCAUUGAAGUGUUAGAAAGCUUUAAAUUGGCCAGGGAGAGCUGGGAGUUGCUCUAUUCCCUAGAAUUCCUUGACAAAGAAUUUACAAGGAUUUGCUUGGCCUGGAAGACGGAUACUUGGCUUUGGUUAAGAAUCUUCCUCACCGAUAUGAUCAUCUAUCAGGUAGCGUAUUACACAUAUUUUAGGUACCUGUGUCUGUACAGGAUGGCUAUGGUGGCAAACCAGCUUUCCCUUGCAGAAUGCGUCAUGUUCCCUCUUGGGCUAGUCUACUGCCUGCUGACACCUGUUCUAUCUUCAGUGGCUGAGGGGGUAUGGUCCAUUUUCCUUUCAAAAUAACUCUGGGCCGGGUGCCGUGGCUCACGCCUGCAAUCCCAGCACUUUGGGAGGUCGAGGUGGGAGGAUUGCUUGAGCCCAGGAGUUCAAGACCAGUCCUGGCAGCAUAGUGAGACCCUGUCUCUACAAAAUAAAAAACUUAGCCAAGUGUGCUGGCAUGUGCCUAUAGUUCCAGCUACUCAGGAGGCUGAGGCGGGAGGAUCACUUGAGCCCAGGAAGUCAAGACUGCAUUGAGCCAUGAUAGCAUCACUGCACUCUGGCCUGGGUGACAGUGAGACCUUAUAUCAAAAACAAAACGAAACAAACACUUCAAAAUGACAAGCCUGUACCUUCUGUGUUACUUUUGGUAUAUCCAAUCACACCUCUCUGUUACUUUUCGGUAAAAGAGGAUUACUUCUCACCCUCCUUCUCUCUCUGCUGGUGGAGUCUGCCUGGCUGUACUGUUCUCCAGCAUCUUAGACCUAGAACCGAGAGAGUCGAUAAUUCACGAAUGAGGUGUUGUUGGAAUGGGCAGGUUGCUGCUUCCAUCCUUCAUAAAGGAGAAGUGGUGCUUGUAGUAAAAUAUUUCUAAAGAAAUGUUAUAUCCAGAAUGUGCUGGGUCAAAGGGCUUGGUUAUUUUCUUUAGUCUUAAGACCUACAGCCACCCCGCCACAAAGAAAAAUCUCCACCUCUUAUAAAGUACCGCGCAUAAAGA
ensembl:lincRNA